rnacentral:rRNA from 1 species
GAUGAACGCUGGCGGCGUGCCUAAUACAUGCAAGUCGAGCGAACAGACGAGGAGCUUGCUCCUCUGACGUUAGCGGCGGACGGGUGAGUAACACGUGGAUAACCUACCUAUAAGACUGGGAUAACUUCGGGAAACCGGAGCUAAUACCGGAUAAUAUAUUGAACCGCAUGGUUCAAUAGUGAAAGACGGUUUUGCUGUCACUUAUAGAUGGAUCCGCGCCGCAUUAGCUAGUUGGUAAGGUAACGGCUUACCAAGGCAACGAUGCGUAGCCGACCUGAGAGGGUGAUCGGCCACACUGGACCUGAGAAACGGCCCAGACUCCUACGGGAGGCACAAGUAGGGAAUCUUCCGCAAUGGGCGAAAGCCUGACGGAGCAACGCCGCGUGAGUGAUGAAGGUCUUCGGAUCGUAAAACUCUGUUAUUAGGGAAGAACAAAUGUGUAAGUAACUAUGCACGUCUUGACGGUACCUAAUCAGAAAGCCACGGCUAACUACGUG